AGCAAAUUUAUGUCGAAUGGGUGGUCAACAUAAAAGAGCAUUUAGCCUUGUUGAACGUUGACCCCUAAAGAAAGUACAUAAUUUACACCACAUUAAGAAGAACAGGAAAGCAGGUGGAAGCAGUAAAAGGGACUAGGAAAACAUAAUACAGAAGGAAAAAAAUAUACGAAUAUAUACUUCAUAAAUCAAAUAUGAUACUCAAGUUGCCGAGUACAAAUUUAAUAAAAAAAAAACAAUCGAAAGGAACGUUUAAAACUAUAUACAGAAGGUUGAUUCUUUGGAUAUUUUGGAAUAGUACUCCAUAUAUGAGGAUCUUUAUCAAUAGUAAAGCAUUUAGUAUUAAAUAUUUGUUCUUUAGAUUCAUCAAUGUCCAUCAUGGGGUUCACAGAGGCGGAACCGGGAUAUUGGUUGCUUACUGGAGUAAUUGGUCUUCUCACCGCUUGGUUGGUCAAACAUCUGAUAACCAGGCCCAAGAACCUUCCACCCGGACCCACUGGACUACCUCUCCUGGGUGUAGCCUGGCAAAUCUUCAAGGGUGGGUCGGAUCCUCUUGCUCUCUUCGCAUCAUGGUCCAAGAAGUACGGUGAGAUCGUAUCCUUCUACGUUGGUCCGAAGCCGAUCGUCAUCCUCAACUCCUACCCGGUCAUCUUCGAAGCAUUUCGUCAUCCCGAUCUCCAAGACCGACUCAGCAGCCGAUUACUUCAAGAAAUAAUGGGAUUAAAGAACAGCGGAAUUGGUUUUUCUAACGGAGAAGUCUGGAAGGAGCAGCGAAAGUUCACCCACUCUGUAUUCCGGAGUCUUGGUGUUGGUAAGAAGAGCUAUGAGGAUACCGUAUCAGCCGAGAUGAUCCAGCUUUCUUCAGUCAUCAAAGAAAAGAAAACUUCUCCUUUUGACCCCAGCACUCUCUUUGUGCAAGCCGUUUCCAACAUCAUUUGCUCUAUCAUCUUCGGAACACAGUACACAUACGACGACGACGCAUUCAAGAAAAUUUUGCAUCUCGUGAACUUGAACGUAAAAUUGUCGGGAGGGGGCGGAUCGUUUUUGUUUCUUCCCAUUCCUGGUAUUUCCAAGAUUCCGUUUGGUAAAAUGAAGCUCAUGACAAACACAAUUCGGAGCUUGAACGCCUUCAUCCAGUCUCAGAUUGAGUCUCAUGAAAAGAAUUGGGAUCCAGAAAAUCAGAGGGAUUUCAUCGACCAGUACCUCAAUAAGUUGGAUGAAACCAAGGACACAAUUUCUUCAUUCAACAAACUCAAUUUAACCGGUUGUAUCGCCGAUCUCUUCCUUGCUGGGUCUGACACGACGGCUACUACCCUCAAGUGGUGCAUCCUCUUUAUGAUGGCCUACCCACAGGUUCAGUCACGUGUUCAAGAUGAACUUGAUCACGUGGUUGGCAGAGAACGAAUCCCAAGGCUGGAUGAUAUCAAAGAUCAAAGACUCUGGGGCCUUCAAACCUGAAAGGUUUCUGACCGCAGAUGGAGAGCUUAUCAAGAGAGAUGAACUCAUCUUUUUCAGCAGUGGUCGCCGUGCCUGUCCUGGAGAGCAGCUAGCCCGGAUGGAGACAUUCUUGGGUUUUACAAGCCUCCUUCAACGAUUCACCUUCAAGAAA